GGUGUACACCAGUGAAGAGAAACAACAACAAAAAUAUAGCCCACGAAACGAGACAAGCCCACACCAGAUCUGCAGGGACCGAGACCUGGACCUCUAUAUCAAACACACCUCCACUCUUCCACUCGAUUGCCUCCCAGGGAUGUGAUGUUGCCAAGUCGAUUGGAUCUGAAGUCAACUAAAAGACAAACACACAUAGCACCCGUGGGUGGGGACCAUGAUUGUAUUUCCAGGGAGGAUUGACUGGAAGGCGCGUUUCCAGUGACAUCUCAGAUAUAAGAAGGCCUGAUGGAGAAGCUGAAGCUUUUGCCUGACUGUCUUCAUUCCUGGCUCGAAUCCUCCAGGCCUUCAGCGCCACGACUGAGGCAUCCAGGAGCCUCCUGAUGAUCUGAGCAUGAAGUGAUGCAGAUGGCCACAGCUGGAAACAACCCGUAUCCAGUAAGUCAGUUUAACGAAUCCCUUUUUAUGAUAUAUAUAUUAUUUCUCUUGGUUCUGUUUUUAUAGAGAUUCAAGAUGGGCUGAAGAGAUGGCUCUGCGGUUAAGAGCACCAGCUGUCCUUCUGAAGGUUCCAGCAAUCACAUUGUGGCUUACAACCAUCUGUAACAAGAUCUGACACCCUCUUCUGGAGUGUCUGAAGACAGCUACAGUGU